rnacentral:rRNA from 1 species
UACAGAGACUGCAAGCGUUAUUCGGAUUCACUGGGCGUAAAGGGUGCGCAGGCGGCCAGGUGUGUCAGGUGUGAAAGCCCGGAGCUUAACUCCGGAAUUGCGCCUGAAACUACUUGGCUAGAGCAUUGGAGAGGGUAGCGGAAUUCACGGUGUAGCAGUGAAAUGCGUAGAUAUCAGGAGGAACACCGAUGGCGAAGGCAGGUCUCUGGGCUGACACUGACGCUCAUGCACGAAAGCGUGGGGAGCAAACAGG